GUGAACGAGGAUCACAAGGAAUUGCUGGAUUAAAGAUGAAGGGCGAAGUUGGUGAACCAGGUCAGCCAGAAAAAAAUGGGAAGUCAAGGUCCAAUUAAAUGGACAGGACGGUCGAGCAGGGCCAUUUGGACCACAUAGAAGAGCUGGAUCACAGGUGACGUUUAAUAGGUUUGGACGCAGGCAUUAACUAGACCCACACACAACAAGCACACAAGUGUAG